AGCGGGCUUGGGAGGUGCUUGUGCUCAAAGCCUCCUUCCCCAUGAAGGCUCACCUUGGCAGCUCGGCUCUACUCUGG
ensembl:miRNA